rnacentral:rRNA from 1 species
UACGGGGGGGGCAAGCGUUUGUUCGGAAUUACUGGGCGUAAAGGGCUCGUAGGCGGCCAACUAAGUCAGACGUGAAAUCCCUCGGCUUAACCGGGGAACUGCGUCUGAUACUGGAUGGCUUGAGUUUGGGAGAGGGAUGCGGAAUUCCAGGUGUAGCGGUGAAAUGCGUAGAUAUCUGGAGGAACACCGGUGGCGAAGGCGGCAUCCUGGACCAACACUGACGCUGAGUGAGCGAAAGCCAGGGGAGCAAACGGG